AGAGUUUGAUCCUGGCUCAGAACGAACGCUGGCGGCGUGGAUAAGACAUGCAAGUCGAACGGGAUAUUUUUGGUAGCAAUAUCAAGAAUGUCUAGUGGCGUAAGGGUGCGUAACACGUGGGCAACCUGCCCGGAAGUGGGGGAUAGCUCGCCGAAAGGCGAAUUAAUACCGCAUGUGGUGAGUGAAGUCAUCUUCAUGAAACCAAAGUCGGGGUAACCUGACGCUUCUGGAUGGGCCCGCGGCCUAUCAGCUAGUUGGUGAGGUAACGGCUCACCAAGGCUAUGACGGGUAGCUGGUCUGAGAGGACGACCAGCCACACUGGAACUGAGACACGGUCCAGACACCUACGGGUGGCAGCAGUCGAGAAUUUUUCUCAAUGGGGGAAACCCUGAAGGAGCGACGCCGCGUGGAGGAUGAAGGUUUUCGGAUUGUAAACUCCUGUCAUUAGGGAACAAUGUGCAGAUGUUAACUGCGUCUGCAUUGAUAGUACCUGAAGAGGAAGAGACGGCUAACUCUGUGCCAGCAGCCGCGGUAAUACAGAGGUCUCAAGCGUUGUUCGGAUUCAUUGGGCGUAAAGGGUGCGUAGGCGGCGGGGCAAGUCAGGUGUGAAAUCUCGGGGCUCAACCCCGAAACUGCACUUGAUACUGCUCUGCUAGAGUACUGGAGAGGAGAUUGGAAUUUACGGUGUAGCAGUGAAAUGCGUAGAUAUCGUAAGGAAGACCAGUGGCGAAGGCGAAUCUCUGGACAGUUACUGACGCUGAGGCACGAAGGCCAGGGGAGCAAACGGGAUUAGAUACCCCGGUAGUCCUGGCAGUAAACGGUGCACGU
rnacentral:rRNA from 1 species